CUCACGAGUGCAAAGAAUAUGAACACUAGAGUGAAAACAAAAGUGUGAAUAGUGAGUGGAAUGAAGUGAACUCUACCGAAGAACAAAGGAACACUAGUAAACACAAACUCAAACCAACAAAUGAACAAAAGGGCCUUAAUCCAACAAGAAAGAGGACUCUCUCAAAGUGUCUUAAGAGCAGCACUAAAAACCUAAACUCCCUCUAAGUCGUCUCCAAAAGUGACUCGAAGAUCAAUGUCAAAGAUGAG
rnacentral:lncRNA from 1 species